UUACCUCAUAUUUGUAUGGAAUGGGAUCGUUUGCCUACAUUUGCCGUUAGGGGCGCUGUUCCAACUGCAUACAAAAUUGGGUUA
rnacentral:pre_miRNA from 1 species